UACGUAGGGCGCAAGCGUUGUCCGGAAUCAUUGAGCGUAAAGAGCUCGUAGGUGGUCUGUUACGUCUGCCGUGAAAACCUAGGGCUUAACCCUGGGCCUGCAGUGGAUACGGGCAGACUAGAGGUAGGUAGGGGAGAAUGGAAUUCCCGGUGUAGCGGUGAAAUGCGCAGAUAUCGGGAGGAACACCGGUGGCGAAGGCGGUUCUCUGGGCCUUACCUGACACUGAGGAGCGAAAGCGUGGGGAG
rnacentral:rRNA from 1 species